rnacentral:rRNA from 1 species
GACGAACGCUGGCGGCGUGCUUAACACAUGCAAGUCGAACGAAGUGGCGAACGGGUGAGUAAUACGUGAGUAACCUGCCCUCCUUGAUGGGAUAAGCCUUGGAAACGGGGUCUAAUACCGAAUAAAGGGGGAUGGGCUCGCGGCCUGUCAGCUUGUUGGGGGGGUGAUGGCCUACCAAGGCGGUGACGGGUAGCCGGCCUGGGAGGGUGAACGGGCACCUUGGGUAUGAGGUACGGCCCAGACUGCUACGGGAGGCUGAAGUAGGGGAUAUUGCUCAAUGGGCGUAAGACUGAUGCAGCGACGCCGCGUGGGCGAUGAAGGCUUGCGGGUUGUAAACCUCUUUCGAUAUCGAACGGAUAGGUGGAGACGAAGCGCCGGCUAACUACGUGCCAGCCGCCGCGGUAAUAC